AACGAACGCUGGCGGCAGGCCUAACACAUGCAAGUCGAACGCCCCGCAAGGGGAGUGGCAGACGGGUGAGUAACGCAUGGGAACCUACCUUACGGUCGGGAAUAGCUCAGGGAAACUUGGGGUAAUACCGGAUACGCCCUUACGGGGAAAGAUUUAUCGCCGUUAGAUGGGCCCGCGUAGGAUUAGCUAGUUGGUGAGGUAACGGCUCACCAAGGCGACGAUCCUUAGCUGGUCUGAGAGGAUGAUCAGCCACACUGGGACUGAGACACGGCCCAGACUCCUACGGGAGGCAGCAGUGGGGAAUAUUGGACAAUGGGCGCAAGCCUGAUCCAGCCAUGCCGCGUGAGUGACGAAGGCCUUAGGGUUGUAAAGCUCUUUUGGCGGGGAAGAUAAUGACGGUACCCGCAGAAUAAGCUCCGGCUAACUUCGUGCCAGCAGCCGCGGUAAUACGAAGGGAGCUAGCGUUGUUCGGAAUCACUGGGCGUAAAGCGCACGUAGGCGGAUAUGUCAGUCAGGGGUGAAAUCCCGGAGCUCAACUUCGGAACUGCCUUUGAUACAGCAUAUCUCGAGUCCGAGAGAGGUGAGUGGAAUUCCUAGUGUAGAGGUGAAAUUCGUAGAUAUUAGGAAGAACACCGGUGGCGAAGGCGGCUCACUGGCUCGGUACUGACGCUGAGGUGCGAAAGCGUGGGGAGCAAACAGG
rnacentral:rRNA from 1 species